GACGAACGCUGGCGGCGUGCUUAACACAUGCAAGUCGAACGGAAAGGCCCCUCCGGGGGUGCUCGAGUGGCGAACGGGUGAGUAACACGUGGGUGAUCUGCCCUGCACUUCGGGAUAAGCCUGGGAAACUGGGUCUAAUACCGGAUAGGACUACGCACUGCAUGGUGUGUGGUGGAAAGCUUUUGCGGUGUGGGAUGGGCCCGCGGCCUAUCAGCUUGUUGGUGGGGUGAUGGCCUACCAAGGCGUCGACGGGUAGCCGGCCUGAGAGGGUGUCCGGCCACACUGGGACUGAGAUACGGCCCAGACUCCUACGGGAGGCAGCAGUGGGGAAUAUUGCACAAUGGGCGCAAGCCUGAUGCAGCGACGCCGCGUGGGGGAUGACGGCCUUCGGGUUGUAAACCUCUUUCAGCAGGGACGAAGCGCAAGUGACGGUACCUGUAGAAGAAGGACCGGCCAACUACGUGCCAGCAGCCGCGGUAAUACGUAGGGUCCGAGCGUUGUCCGGAAUUACUGGGCGUAAAGAGCUCGUAGGUGGUUUGUCGCGUUGUUCGUGAAAACUCACAGCUUAACUGUGGGCGUGCGGGCGAUACGGGCAGACUUGAGUACUGCAGGGGAGACUGGAAUUCCUGGUGUAGCGGUGGAAUGCGCAGAUAUCAGGAGGAACACCGGUGGCGAAGGCGGGUCUCUGGGCAGUAACUGACGCUGAGGAGCGAAAGCGUGGGGAGCGAACAGGAUUAGAUACCCUGGUAGUCCACGCCGUAAACGGUGGGUACUA
rnacentral:rRNA from 1 species